GUGCUCACUUCGACAGCACAUAUACUAAAAUUGAUCUAUACAGAGAUUAGCAUGGCCCCUGCCCAAGGAUGGCACCAAAUUAAUGAAGCGUUCUAUAUUUAA